GCGGGGGUGGUGGAAUGGCAGACACGCAGGUCUCAGAAGCCUGUGCCGCAAGGCAUGAGGGUUCAAGUCCCUCCUCCCGCA
rnacentral:tRNA from 1 species